AGAGACAAGGACAAGUAGUGCAACUCAAUGAAUGGGCAGGGCAGUCAGGGUGACCGAUGGUUGAUGGUUUCUCAUUCACUGGCGAGUACUUAUUGUUGUGACUUGUCUGCAGAAAAAAAAAAGGAUAGAAAAGCCGUUCAAAAGUGACUUGUCUGCAGAAAAAUCAUUGUUGUGACUUUGCAGAAAAAUCAAACCCCUUCUUGUUAAUCCUUUCACAGUAUGCAUUAGCACUUAUCCCUUCUCUUUUCUGACCUUGCCACCCACUUCCGCUUGGGGUCAUGAAUCUUGUUAGCAGUAGUUCUGCGGAGAUUGUACAAUUAAUUAUGUGUUGAAUGAUACAGAAUUACUUAAUCAUUUAUGGUAACUAAUAAAAGAAAAAAAAACUGUGAAAUCUUUUAUAAAAAUAUUGUGUAGUUUCUUGCGUCCGUGGUUGCGCACAAAUUCAUGUUGUUAACCUUGCAAUCCUCUCUACCCACUUCCGCUUGGGGUCAUGAAUCUUGUUUGCAGUAGUUCUGCAGAGAUUGUACAAUUAAUUAUGUGUUGAAUGAUACAGAAUUACUUAAUCAUUUAUGGUAACUAAUAAAAGGAAAAAAAAAACUGUGAAAUCCUUCGUAAAAAUAUUGUGUAGUUUCUUGUCUGUGGUUGCGCACAAAUUCAUGUGGUUGCAUUAUGUGACAUGAAGUAUAUGUCCAUUUCACGUAAUGUGGCACCACAUGGCACAUUAUCAUUGGUGAAUCUUAAUUGGACGAAUUAAAUAUUAUUUACUUUAACAUGAUUAAAAUAAGUUAUAACCUAUAUAACUUCGCAUAUUUAUAAUAUCUUAUAAUCUAUAAUCACAUGUAAGUAAGUAGUUUGUGUUAAUUGUAUCAGUUAAAUAUUACUCAUUAUUAUUAUAUGAAAUAUAUUCAAUUCCAUUAUAUAUGCAUAAAAUAGAAUUUUGCCAAUAAAUAUAAUUACUAAAUGCAUAAUGAAUAUUAGAGGGAAAAUGCUUGCUAGGUUUUAAUGCUUCCCGUAUGGCCGUGGCUAAGAAUACAAAUGCUUACGUAAUAAAUUAACGCCAGAAGAUUUCUACAACUCCCUCAGGAAUUUAUUGAGAGUAAAAGUUCCAAUUACAAUUUGAUUUUGCCGGUGGAAGGGGGGGGGGGGGGGAGUGAUUUUAGCUUUUAUUUUAUUUUAUCCUUUUCUGUACCAGAAAGAAUAUAUAAUGCCACUUUGAUAAAUUAAAAAAAAAAAUGACCAUUAUGAAAUUUUCUUAAUUAAUUCCUAAUAAGUUUCCUAAUUGCAGUGGUUGGACAUCUCAAUUUCUUAUCAUUUGCUAACACAACAAAUAGCUAACACAUCAAAUAGCCUCUCUCUCUCUCUCUCUCUCUCUCUCUCUCUCUCUCUCUCUCUCUCUUUGCAGCUGCUCAUCCAGAUUGGAGAACCUGAUUUUUCAAAGUAAUAACUUUAUGGAGCCAUUUGAAGAAACCGUGGUAAUCUUUUCUCUGCCUUCUUAUGGUACUUUCUACUGAAUAAGCUAUAGAGUAGUCUGUCCAUGUAUGUAUUGACAUAAUAACAAAUUUUUGCUCUUUUCCAUAUCAAAUGCGGGAAAGAAACUUCCGGUGGGAACUUUAAAUUUCAUUUGCAAUGAAGUUACAUAAAAUUUAUUUCCUCAAAUUCGAUAUGACAAAUUGCAAUCAGUCAUAAUGAAGGUUCUUUAAAGGUACAAUUUAAAUUGCUAAUCUGUUUUUUUUUUAAAUGAAACUUUGUAAGAAAAUUGUUUGCAAGGUCCUAAGGUAGAAUAAUUGUAUAAUGCUUUCCUUUGAUAUAUUUUUCUUCCUUGUAUUUUUUAAAUAACCAAAAAAUUUGCUACUUUUUCGAUGGGUCAUAAUGAAAGUGAAUAUUAAGAUUGAGGCAUGCAUCUUCUGUUUUAAAGUUUUUUCCCUAAAGGAAAUGGGGAUCUACUCAUUUCAACAAGGGAAAAGCCAAAUUGACGAUUAAAAAUUGCACAUUUUACAAUAUCAUAAUUAUGUACUUGUCUAUCAACUCAUAUUGACUUUUUCACAUGCCGCCUAUCUUGACCAAAUUAAUGGAUAGAUAGAUGUCGUCUAAUGAAGAGUAAUAUGGAAAGAUCAAGUUGAUGUCAAUCCUAGUGAAGAUUCCAAAGGAGAAUAGAAUUGCCUAUAUCGACAAUAGACACAAACAUAUUUCUUACCUUAACAUCCAAUUGGGUUUUAAUUUUGUAUAGUUGGAUUUAAUGUUGUUGAUGCUAUGAAGCAAUGUCUUUUCAUGGUUAGUGUCUUUGGAGCAAAGUCAUCUUUCGUACAAUAUUGUGGAUUACACAUGCUCACUAUAAUUUCAAUGAUAUCAAGUUUGUUUGUG
rnacentral:lncRNA from 1 species